UACGUAGGUGGCAAGCGUUAUCCGGAAUUAUUGGGCGUAAAGAGCGCGCAGGUGGUUGAUUAAGUCUGAUGUGAAAGCCCACGGCUUAACCGUGGAGGGUCAUUGGAAACUGGUUGACUUGAGUGCAGAAGAGGGAAGUGGAAUUCCAUGUGUAGCGGUGAAAUGCGUAGAGAUAUGGAGGAACACCAGUGGCGAAGGCGGCUUCCUGGUCUGUAACUGACACUGAGGCGCGAAAGCGUGGGGAGCAAACAGGAUUAGAUACCCCU
rnacentral:rRNA from 1 species